AUUGAACGCUGGCGGCAUGCCUUACACAUGCAAGUCGAACGGUAACGGGCCUUCGGGUGCCGCCGAGUGGCGAACGGGUGAGUAAUACAUCGGAACGUGCCCGAUCGUGGGGGAUAACGAGGCGAAAGCUUUGCUAAUACCGCAUACGAUCUACGGAUGAAAGCAGGGAACCGCAAGGCCUUGCGCGGACGGAGCGGCCGAUGGCAGAUUAGGUAGUUGGUGGGAUAAAAGCUUACCAAGCCGACGAUCUGUAGCUGGUCUGAGAGGAUGAUCAGCCACACUGGGACUGAGACACGGCCCAGACUCCUACGGGAGGCAGCAGUGGGGAAUUUUGGACAAUGGGCGCAAGCCUGAUCCAGCCAUGCCGCGUGCAGGAUGAAGGCCUUCGGGUUGUAAACUGCUUUUGUACGGAACGAAAAGCCUUCUUUUAAUACAGGAGGGUCAUGACGGUACCGGAAGAAUAAGCACCGGCUAACUACGUG
rnacentral:rRNA from 1 species